rnacentral:lncRNA from 1 species
GCAAAAAUUAUGCUAUUUUAUUGAGUAUAUACAAAAGAUUGAUUCUUUGAUGUUACAGGACAGUGAGUAUAAACAAAAGAUUUGAAUUCUUUGAUCACCAAGGCUGUGGGGCAUCACGGAGGCUGCGUUGCUGCGUUGAAAGCGUCACUACUACGGAGGUUGACAAAACCAUGCUCGCGACUGUGGAUGAAGCCAAGCCGGCGGCGUCUCUGGACGAGGCCAAGCCGCCAUCGGCUGCUGAUGAGGCCAUCCCGCCACCGCUAGCAUCCUUGCC